rnacentral:tRNA from 1 species
GCAGUGGUAGUUUAAUGGUAGAAUUCUCACCUUCCAUGAGGGAGAUCCGGGUUCAAUUUCCCGCCAAUGCA